UACGGAGGGGGCGAGCGUUAUUCGGAAUUAUUGGGCGUAAAGGGCGCGUAGGCGGCCCGGUAAGUCAAAGGUGAAAUCCCUCGGCUCAACUGAGGAACUGCCUUUGAAACUGUCGGGCUUGAGGCCGGGAGGGGGUAGCGGAAUUCCCAGUGUAGCGGUGAAAUGCGUAGAUACUGGGAGGAACACCAGUGGCGAAGGCGGGUCUCUGGACAGUACCUGACACUGAGGCACGAAGGCCAGGGGAGCAAACGGG
rnacentral:rRNA from 1 species